rnacentral:misc_RNA from 1 species
CCCCUUCUCUUUUCUUUUUCCAGCAUCACAGUUUUAAAACGAUUCCCACUCAAGAUAUAAGAUUGGUCAGGUGCCAUGGACAUUAAAUGAAUCUUUCUCCUUGUCGAAUUGACAGUUGCAGUUGCUACAUGCAAGUAAAAAAUUGCCAUUGUAAUUGCAUCAUAUUAGCAGCAGCCAAAAUUCCACUCCAGAUUUCCUGCUCAGCAAGUAUGUAAAACAGUUAUCAAUUUCGAGUUCAUAAGCCCAUAACUAGAAUACCAAUGGCAGGGCAAGGAAGAGAGAACUUUUAUCUUAAAUUCAUUGAUCAGAAAUCCAUGAUAGAAACCAUCACUGCACAAGGGCAGGAAAUAGACCAUAAAUAGAAACUUACGAUCCUGCAUAUCA